rnacentral:rRNA from 1 species
AAGUCGAGCGGUAACAGAUCUAGCUUGCUAGAUGCUGACGAGCGGCGGACGGGUGAGUAAUGCAUAGGAAUCUGCCCGAUAGUGGGGGAUAACCUGGGAAACCCAGGCUAAUACCGCAUACGUCCUACGGGAGAAAGGGGGCUUCGGCUCCCGCUAUUGGAUGAGCCUAUGUCGGAUUAGCUAGUUGGUAAGGUAAUGGCUUACCAAGGCAACGAUCCGUAGCUGGUCUGAGAGGAUGAUCAGCCACAUCGGGACUGAGACACGGCCCGAACUCCUACGGGAGGCAGCAGUGGGGAAUAUUGGACAAUGGGGGCAACCCUGAUCCAGCCAUGCCGCGUGUGUGAAGAAGGCCCUCGGGUUGUAAAGCACUUUCAGCGAGGAAGAACGCCUGGUGGUUAAUACCCACUAGGAAAGACAUCACUCGCAGAAGAAGCACCGGCUAACUCCGUGCCAGCAGCCGCGGUAAUACGGAGGGUGCAAGCGUUAAUCGGAAUUACUGGGCGUAAAGCGCGCGUAGGUGGCUUGAUAAGCCGGUUGUGAAAGCCCCGGGCUCAACCUGGGAACGGCAUCCGGAACUGUCAGGCUAGAGUGCAGGAGAGGAAGGUAGAAUUCCCGGUGUAGCGGUGAAAUGCGUAGAGAUCGGGAGGAAUACCAGUGGCGAAGGCGGCCUUCUGGACUGACACUGACACUGAGGUGCGAAA